CACAAUCAAUCAUCUAAGUUGAGUAUUUUUCUGCAACAAUGAUUUGAAUGUGUGAGACCUCUAUACUUUAGAGAUUAAAGAUAUUACCACAUAAUGCAGUUAUUGGUAGUUUUGAGCCUCUCUUAUCAGAAAUUACAUCAAUUAUAUCUCUCAAUGGUUACAUUUCUACCUGAAUUUGAGAUCCUUUGAUCAUGAAUCUGUACAAGUCAGAGAUAGAGAGAGAAAUCAUGCAUGGGAAAAUAGUGAGAAAUCGUAGGGACAGUAGUCUCGGGAAUCAGGCCGACGAAUGCUCCUGUAGUAAUAUCAAAGCAUGUGAACUAGAGUGCUCGUGAAAAUCUGAAAUGUUUGAGAGGUGGGUUCUUAAUGAAUUUCCCUCUCUUCUACAGUACCCUAAAGACACUGAAAUAUUCUCUCUCUUAAUUAUUCUGUGGACACCGGGCGCCUUCUCUCUCUCUUAAUUAUUCUGUGUGGACACCGGACGGCCCCCGGAGACGAAUGAGAGUGCGCCACGCUAUUUUUUUAUGUGUACCGGGUGACGUGACGCUCUCUCAUUCGUCUCCUAACGAUCCGAUGUCCGCACAAAAUAAUUUCUCCUUUCUCUCUCUAGGACUUGCAUGUUAAUGGAAUAAAUCUUUUAGACGGUAAGAUACAGUGAACUUCAUGUGGCAAGAGACUGCCAGGUUGAAACCUCCAUGUUACAGUGAUGUGGUUUUCUGUAAUGUCCACAGCUUGGACGUUCUGGUUACUGUACAUAUUUGUUAUGCAGUUAAAAAAAAAAAAAGAUAGUUUUUUUUUU